rnacentral:rRNA from 1 species
UACAGGGGGGGCAAGCGUUGUUCGGAAUUACUGGGCGUAAAGGGUCUGUAGGUGGCCAACUAAGUCAGACGUGAAAUCCCUCAGCUUAACUGGGGAACUGCGUCUGAUACUGGUUGGCUUGAGUGCAGGAGAGGAACGCGGAAUUCCAGGUGUAGCGGUGAAAUGCGUAGAAAUCUGGAGGAACACCGGUGGCGAAGGCGGCGUUCUGGACUGCAACUGACACUGAGGAACGAAAGCCAGGGUAGCAAACGGG